UGGACUGUGUCCUUCGCGGACACACCCACGCACACCCUUUUGUGAACUUAUACCUUUAUAUCGUUGCCUCGGCGCCGAGCUUGGGGGUGGCCCUCGGGUCAUCCCCCCUGACCGUGCAAGCGGUCCGGAGCCAGCCCGCCGGCGGCCCACUAAACUCUUGUUUGUAUAACCUAUCUCUUCUGAGUAUUUCUUGUAGUAAUACAAAAUGAAUCAAAACUUUCAACAACGGAUCUCUUGGUUCUGGCAUCGAUGAAGAACGCAGCGAAAUGCGAUAAGUAAUGUGAAUUGCAGAAUUCAGUGAAUCAUCGAAUCUUUGAACGCACAUUGCGCCCGCUGGAAUUCCAGCGGGCAUGCCUGUUCGAGCGUCAUUUCAACCCUCAAGCCUAGCUUGGUGUUGGAGCACUACCCGUUAUACGGUAGGCUCUGAAAUUCAGUGGCGGGCUCGCUAAGACUCUGAGCGUAGUAGUUUACCACCUCGCUUUGGAAGGAUUAGCGGUGCUCUUGCCGUAAAACCCCCCAAUUUUUCUGAAUUUUGACCUCGGAUCAGGUAGGAAUACCCGCUGAACUUAAGCAUAUCAAUAAGCGGAGGAAAAGAAACCAACAGGGAUUGCCCUAGUAACGGCGAGUGAAGCGGCAACAGCUCAAAUUUGAAAUCUGGCUUCGGCCCGAGUUGUAAUUUGCAGAGGAUGUUUCUGGCGCGGUGCCUUCCGAGUUCCCUGGAACGGGACGCCACAGAGGGUGAGAGCCCCGUAUGGUUGGACACCAAGCCUGUGUGAAACUCCUUCGACGAGUCGAGUAGUUUGGGAAUGCUGCUCAAAAUGGGAGGUAAAUCUCUUCUAAAGCUAAAUACUGGCCAGAGACCGAUAGCGCACAAGUAGAGUGAUCGAAAGAUGAAAAGCACCUUGAAAAGGGGGUUAAACAGUACGUGAAAUUGUUGAAAGGGAAGCGUUUAUGACCAGACUUGUGCCGGGCGGCUCAUCCGGGGUUCUCCCCGGUGCACUCCGCCCGGCUCAGGCCAGCAUCGGUUCUCGUUGGGGGAUAAGAACGGUAGGAACGUGGCCCUCCCUCGGGAGGGUGUUAUAGCCUGCCGUACGAUACCCUGAUGGGGACCGA
rnacentral:rRNA from 1 species